rnacentral:rRNA from 1 species
GGCGACGACGGGUAGCCGGCCUGAGAGGGCGACCGGCCACACUGGGACUGAGACACGGCCCAGACUCCUACGGGAGGCAGCAGUGGGGAAUAUUGCACAAUGGGCGAAAGCCUGAUGCAGCGACGCCGCGUGAGGGAUGACGGCCUUCGGGUUGUAAACCUCUUUCAGCAGGGAAGAAGCGAAAGUGACGGUACCUGCAGAAGAAGCGCCGGCUAACUACGUGCCAGCAGCCGCGGUAAUACGUAGGGCGCAAGCGUUGUCCGGAAUUAUUGGGCGUAAAGAGCUCGUAGGCGGCUUGUCACGUCGGAUGUGAAAGCCCGGGGCUUAACCCCGGGUCUGCAUUCGAUACGGGCUAGCUAGAGUGUGGUAGGGGAGAUCGGAAUUCCUGGUGUAGCGGUGAAAUGCGCAGAUAUCAGGAGGAACACCGGUGGCGAAGGCGGAUCUCUGGGCCAUUACUGACGCUGAGGAGCGAAAGCGUGGGGAGCGAACAGGAUUAGAUACCCUGGUAGUCCACGCCGUAAACGUUGGGAACUAGGUGUUGGCGACAUUCCACGUCGUCGGUGCCGCAGCUAACGCAUUAAGUUCCCCGCC